UGGGCAACCUGCCCCUCUCUCUGGGAUAACCCCGGGAAACCGGAGCUAAUACCGGAUACUCCGGCUGGAUCGCAUGGUCCGGCCGGGAAAGGUCCGCCGGAGAGGGAUGGGCCCGCGGCCUAUCAGCUUGUUGGUGGGGUCAUGGCUCACCAAGGCGACGACGGGUAGCUGGUCUGAGAGGACGACCAGCCACACUGGAACUGAGAUACGGUCCAGACCUCCUACGGGAGGCA
rnacentral:rRNA from 1 species